rnacentral:rRNA from 1 species
UGGCUCAGAACGAACGCUGGCGGCAUGCCUAAUACAUGCAAGUCGAACGCUUGGGAGCAAUCCCAAGAGUGGCGGACGGGUGAGUAACGCGUGGGAACCUGCCCUGUUGUGGGGGAUAACCGAGGGAAACUUCGGCUAAUACCGCAUGCGCCCGCGGAGUUGAUCUGCGGAGAAAGAUUUAUCGCAGCAGGAGGGGCCCGCGUCGGAUUAGCUGGUUGGCGGGGUAACGGCCCACCAAGGCGAUGAUCAAGUAGCUGGUCUGAGAGGAUGAUCAGCCACACUGGGACUGUUUUCUCGGCCCAGAGAAAUACGGGAGGCA